rnacentral:lncRNA from 1 species
GGGUAUUCAAAAAGGGGAGCCGCGGGUUCUUUCUUUCCUUGUAGGAAAGGUCUUGGUUUGGUAUGGCAUUAGAGAAAACUUGUUAUGGUUAUGCGGCUAUAUAGAAAAGGCGGGUGGGGCUUCAGGCGGCUUUUUUUAUGAAGAGUUUCAAUCAAAAUUCCAUCGAUUAUAGCUAGUGAUUGCCCGGGUCAGUGUGUGAUCACCAAAGGUGAAGUAACCCUUCAGAUGCUCUCUUCGCCCAUGCUGAAUACCCCCGGCCAGUUCCGCCGANGGCGGCUUUUUUUAUGAAGAGUUUCAAUCAAAAUUCCAUCGAUUGUAGCUAGUGAUUGCCCGGGUCGGUGUGUGAUCACCAAAGGUGAAGUAACCCUUC